GACAGAGGGUGCAAACGUUGCUCGGAAUCACUGGGCGUAAAGGGCGUGUAGGCGGGACGGUAAGUCGGGCGUGAAAUCCCUAGGCUCAACCUAGGAACUGCACUCGAAACUACCAUUCUUGAGUGUCGGAGAGGAAAGCGGAAUUCCUGGUGUAGAGGUGAAAUUCGUAAGAUAUCAGGAGGAACACCAGUGGCGAAGGCGGCUUUCUGGACGAUAACUGACGCUGAGACGCGAAAGCGUGGGGAGCAAACAGG
rnacentral:rRNA from 1 species